GUGCUCAUUUCAGCCACACAUAUACUAUAAUUGAAAUAAUAUAGAGAAGAUUAGCAUGGUCCUUGUGCAAGGAUGUCAUGCAAAUUCAUGAAGCACUACAUAUUUUU